UUAUAGUGAUAUAAUGAUGAGAGCUAGGCUUGGUGCAUGGUAGUAUAACCCAUAUAGAGUAUUUUUGAGGACUCUAGUGAGGGGUUUCUAUCUCUGUAGUUACUGUAUGGUACCACAGCAGGUAUCACUCUCUGAGUGCAUACAGACAGGGCAUGCAUAGUCCAAGCUUAGUGUAUGAGAAAAGUUUCAAGUUUUACAGAAAAAGAAAAGAUUAGAAAAGAAAAGAAAGAAGAAAAAAAAAAGUAAAGUAACAGUUUUAAGCUUAAGUUUGAUCAUGUAUGGGAUUUAUUAGGUACACAGAGUUUACAGUAGGCUUACUACGGGUCCCGGCGGCCUUAAGCCGAUCUGGAUCCUAGUGCCGGUGGCGGUCCGGUAAGCGGGCUGUUACA
rnacentral:lncRNA from 1 species